AUUGAACGCUGGCGGCAGGCCUAACACAUGCAAGUCGAGCGGAGCGGCGGACGGGUGAGUAAUGCCUAGGAAUCUGCCCGGUAGUGGGGGAUAACGUCCGGAAACGGGCGCUAAUACCGCAUACUAUCAGAUGAGCCUAGGUGGGAUUAGUUUGUUGGUGGGGUAAAGGCCUACCAAGGCGACGAUCCGUAACUGGUCUGAGAGGAUGAUCAGUCACACGGGAACUGGGACACGGUCCAGACUCCUACGGGAGGAAGCAGGGGGGAAUAUUGGACAAUGGUCGAAAGCCUGAUGCAGCCAUGCCGCGUGUAUGAAGAAGGCCUUCGGGUUGUAAAGUACUUUCAGCGGGGAGGCGGUACCCGAAGAAGAAGCACCGGCUAACUCCGUGCCAGCCGCCGCGGUAAUAC
rnacentral:rRNA from 1 species